rnacentral:pre_miRNA from 1 species
GAAUUACUCCCUCCGUCCGGAAAUACUUGUCAUCAAAAUGGAUAAAAGGGGAUGUAUCUAGACAUAUUUUAGUUCUAGAUACAUCUCUUUUAUCCAUUUUGAUGGCAAGUAUUUUCGGACGGAGGGAGUACAUG